AUUGAACGCUGGCGGCAGGCCUAACACAUGCAAGUCGAGCGGUUGACGGGAGCUUGCUCCCUGAUUCAGCGGCGGACGGGUGAGUAAUGCCUAGGAAUCUGCCUAUUAGUGGGGGACAACGUUUCGAAAGGAACGCUAAUACCGCAUACGUCCUACGGGAGAAAGCAGGGGACCUUCGGGCCUUGCGCUAAUAGAUGAGCCUAGGUCGGAUUAGCUAGUUGGUGAGGUAAUGGGUCACCAAGGCGACGAUCCGUAACUGGUCUGAGAGGAUGAUCAGUCACACUGGAACUGAGACACGGUCCAGACUCCUACGGGAGGCAGCAGUGGGGAAUAUUGGACAAUGGGCGAAAGCCUGAUCCAGCCAUGCCGCGUGUGUGAAGAAGGUCUUCGGAUUGUAAAGCACUUUAAGUUGGGAGGAAGGGUUGUAGAUUAAUACUCUGCAAUUUUGACGUUACCGACAGAAUAAGCACCGGCUAACUCUGUGCCAGCCGCCGCCGUAAGAC
rnacentral:rRNA from 1 species